UACGGAGGGGGCUAGCGUUGUUCGGAAUCAUUGGGCGUAAAGGGCGCGUAGGCGGCCGAUCAAGUCGGAGGUGAAAUCCCUCGGCUCAACUGAGGAAUUGCCUUCGAUACUGUUCGGCUUGAGUCCUGGAGAGGGUAGUGGAAUUCCCGGUGUAGUGGUGAAAUGCGUGGAUAUCGGGAGGAACACCAGUGGCGAAGGCGACUACCUGGCCUGUUUCUUGACGCUGAGGCGCGAAAGCUAGGGGAGCAAACGGG
rnacentral:rRNA from 1 species